UACGGGGGGAGCAAGCGUUGUUCGGAUUUACUGGGCGUAAAGAGCUCGUAGGCGGUUGGGUAAGUCGGGUGUGAAAACUCAGGGCUCAACUCUGAGACGCCACCCGAUACUGCUGUGGCUAGAGUCCAGUAGGGGAGCGUGGAAUUCCUGGUGUAGCGGUGAAAUGCGCAGAUAUCAGGAGGAACACCAGCGGCGAAGGCGACGCUCUGGGCUGGAACUGACGCUGAGGAGCGAAAGCGUGGGGAGCGAACAGG
rnacentral:rRNA from 1 species